rnacentral:rRNA from 4 species
GCAUAUCAAUAAGCGGAGGAAAAGAAACCAACAGGGAUUGCCCCAGUAACGGCGAGUGAAGCGGCAAAAGCUCAAAUUUGAAAUCUGGCGUCCUCUGGGCGUCCGAGUUGUAAUUUGAAGAGGAUGCUUUGGGAGUGGCCACGGUGUAAGUCCCUUGGAACAGGGCGUCAUAGAGGGUGAGAAUCCCGUCUUGCGCCGUUGGUCCGCGCCCGUUUAAAGCUCCUUCGACGAGUCGAGUUGUUUGGGAAUGCAGCUCUAAGUGGGUGGUAAAUUUCAUCUAAAGCUAAAUACUGGCCGGAGACCGAUAGCGAACAAGUAGAGUGAUCGAAAGGUUAAAAGCACCUUGAAAAGGGAGUUAAAUAGCACGUGAAAUUGUUGAAAGGGAAGCGCUUGCGAUCAGACUCGGGCGCGGAGGCUCAGCGGGCAUGUUUGCCCGUGUACUCCUUCGCGCCCGGGCCAGCAUCAGUUUUGGCGGCCGGUCAAAGGCCCCGGGAAUGUAGCACCCUCCGGGGUGUCUUAUAGCCCGGGGUGCAAUGCGGCCAGCCGGGACUGAGGAACGCGCUUCGGCACGGAUGCUGGCGUAAUGGUCGUAAGCGGCCCGUCUUGAAACACGGACC